rnacentral:rRNA from 1 species
GACAGAGGGUGCAAACGUUGUUCGGAAUUACUGGGCGUAAAGCGAGUGUAGGCGGUUCGGUAAGUCGGAUGUGAAAGCCCCGGGCUCAACCCGGGAAGUGCACUCGAUACUGCCGAGCUAGAGUAUCGGAGAGGUUGGUGGAAUUCUCGGUGUAGAGGUGAAAUUCGUAGAUAUCGAGAGGAACACCGGUGGCGAAGGCGGCCAACUGGACGAAUACUGACGCUGAGACUCGAAAGCGUGGGGAGCAAACAGG